UAGGAACGGAAUUGGUAUCUAGUCGGAAAACUUAUUUAUGUUUAAGUUUUAUACGUGAAGAUUAGGUGAAUACAGUUUAAGUAAUGAUGUAAAUUUUGAUUGAAAAUGUAUAUUUUUAAAAUUUUGAUUCUUAUAGUAGGUAAAGGAGCGUGAUUUCUUAUUUACCAAAAUGGCCUCUAAUAAAAAAGAAUUGUACAUACUCUAACAUAUUCACCAAUUCCUCAAUGGUAGCUUGAUCUGAACUGGGCCUGGAAGUUUGUAUUGUAAUGUCUUUUAAAGUCCAGUUACAAAAAAAGAAUUAGUUUAUUGAAGUAGCAACUAGAGAACCGCAUCCACCCGUUUUGAAGAUUUUUGCAGUGAUUUUAUCAUUUAGAAGCGUUUGGAUGGAUUCACAUGAGGACCUUUAGUAGCUUUGCAGUACCUACCUUAUGGAAUUGCAAGAUAAAGAUCAUUCAAGUGAACUGUGGUAUUUCUGCACAAUAAAUAUGUGAUAGAAAAGAUCC